rnacentral:rRNA from 1 species
UACGGAGGGUGCAAGCGUUGUCCGGAUUUAUUGGGCGUAAAGCGCUCGCAGGUGGUUCGUCGCGUCGUGCGUGAAAGACCCCGGCUCAACUGGGGAGGGUCGUGCGAUACGGGCGAACUGGAGGCCAGUAGGGGGAUGCGGAAUUCCGGGUGUAGUGGUGGAAUGCGUAGAGAUCCGGAGGAACACCAGCGGCGAAGGCGGCAUCCUGGACUGGUCCUGACACUCAGGAGCGAAAGCGUGGGGAGCGAUCCGG